GAUUCUGACUGUGACUGGAGUUCAGACGUGUGCUCUUCCGAUCUGCGAGUGUUAGGGUGGAAAAACCCAAACGCAUACCGAAAGGGAUUUAAGAUGUGAAGCGAAAGCCGCAACAUCAACCAAUCUUGAUUCUUUGAAGAAGGACUUGAGUAAGAGCGUAAUUGGUAGGACCCGAAAGAUGGUGAACUACGGUUGAGUAGGGUGAAGCCAGGGGAAACUCUGGUGGAGGCUCGAAGCGUUACUAACGUGCAAAUUGUUCGUCAAACUUGACUGUAGGGGCGAAAGACUAAUCGAACCAUCUAGUAGCUGGUUCCCUCUGAAAUUUCUCUCAGGAUAGCAGGAACAGAUUAUGCAGUUUUAUCAGGUAAAGCUAAUGAUUAGUGGACUCGGGGGUCUGAGACUCUCGACCAAUUCUCAAACUUUAAAUUGGUAAGAACUUGUAGUUAUCUUCAUUGAACUGCAAGGUAGAAUGCAUUGUUCUUAGUGGGCCAUUUUUGGUAAGCAGAACUGGCGAUGAGGGAUGAACCUAACGUUGAGAUAAGGUGCCAAAAUUCACGCUCAUGAGACACCAGAAAAGGUGUUGGUUAGUAUAAACAGCCGGACUGUGGCCAUGGAAGUCGGCACCAGCUAAGGAGUGUGUAACAACUCACCAGCCGAAUUAACCAGCCCUGAAAAUUGAUGGCGCUAAGCGUGAUACCGAUACUCAACCAUUAUGGCAAAUAGAAGCUGUAAUGAGUAAGAGGGCGUGAAUACUGUGUAGAAGGCUUGGAUGUGAAUCUGGCUGGAACAGUAUUUAGUGCAGAUCUUGGUGGUAGUAGCAAAUAUUCAAAUGAGAACUUUGAAGACCGAAGUGGAGAAGGGUUCCAUGAGAACAGCAUUUGUUCAUGGGUUACUCGAUCCUAAGACAUAGGGAAAUUCCUUGUAAUACAUGUAUUCUUACGAAUACAUUGUCAAAAGGGAAUGAGGUUGAUAUUCCUCAAGCUGGAUGUGGUGGCAGCGUGGCAACACAAACAAGCUCGGAAACGCCGGUAUGUGCAACUGGAAGAGUUCUCUUUUCUUCUUAACAAUCUAUCUCCCUGAAUGGAUUAUCCAAAGCAAGGGAUAUAUGGUUGGCAGAGCAGUUCACCAUUGAAUUGUCAGUGAUGCUCAUAACGGCCCUUGAAAAUCUGAGUAAGGUAUCCAAACACACCAGGUCGUACCCAUAACCGCAUCAGGUCUCCAAGGUUAGCAGCCUCUGGUCGAUAGAAUAAUGCAGAUAAGGGAAGUCGGCAAAUUAGAUCCGUAACUUCGGGAAAAGGAUUGGCUCUGAGGAUUGGGUUACCGUGUCAAUUAUUGAAGGCGGAGCUGUGAAAGACUUAUCGCAAGGUAGGACUGGAUCGGCGAAACUGGAGGUGGUAGGCACGUACACCAGCAACAAUCGACUCAGAACUGAAGCGGACAAGGGGAAUCCGACUGUUUAAUAAAAACAUAGCUUUGUGAUGGAGUGAAAACUUGUUGACACAAAGUGAUUUCUGCCCAGUGCUUUGAAUGUGAAUAUGAAGUAAUUUGUAGAAGCUCAGGUAAACGGCGGGAGUAACUAUGACUCUCUUAAGGUAGCCAAAUGCCUCGUCAUCUAAUUAGUGACGCGCAUGAAUGGAUUAAUGAGAUUCCCACUGUCCCUAUCUGCCAUCUAGCGAACCCACAGCCAAGGGAACGGGCUUGGAAUAAUCAGCGGGGAAAGAAGACCCUGUUGAGCUUGACUCUAGUCCGACUUUGUGAAAUGACUUUCGAGAUAUAGCCUAAGUGGGAGCUAACGCGCCGCUGUAAAACCACUGCUCGCUUAGCCAUUUUACUUACUCCGUGAAGAAGUGGCCAAUUUAUUGGUUCUUAGAUUUAAACAUCUAUUUUAUAGGUGUGAACUUUGCGGAGGACAAGGUCAGGUGGGGAGUUUGACUGGGGCGGUACAUCUGUUAAACAAUAACGCAGGUGUCCUACGGUGAGCUCAAAGAGAACAGAAAUCUCUUGUAGACCAAAAGGGGAAAAGCUCACUUGAUUUUGAUUUUCAGUACCAAUACAAACCGCGAAAGCGUGGCCUAUCGAUCCUUUAACUUUACAAGUUUUAAGCUAGAGGUGUCAGAAAAGUUACCACAGGGAUAACUGGCUUGUGGCAGCCAAGCG
rnacentral:rRNA from 1 species